CUCCCACUAAUAAAGGACUCCUGAUUUCGUUUCAGAGUGUGGCAUUUCUCCAUACCUCGCUCGGUUACAUUUGGAGGCCCCAGUGAGCUAAUCGCCACGGGGUGAGUGCCGGACUCUCUCAGGGCUCCCCCAGACAGAUGGUGGGCUUAUUGGGGGGUGCCACCUGAAGAAGUUCCAGGGCCACAUAGGCCACCAUCUUCCAGAGGGGAAUGGAUCGACUGCCCGUGUGUGCCCACCAAAAUCAACUCCUGAGUUCCCCAUUUCUGGUCCUGAGAAGAGCCUGCCCAUACUCAUGAAGAACGAUGCAAUCUACUGGUCAUGGGAGCGGGAAAUGUCGACCAUACUGCAGGAUUCAGACACACAGGAAGUCGGACUGGAUGUGAGAGCUAAAGUCUCCUACCAGGCACCCAACUAUACCUGGCUGACCUGCACUUCAGGCCUCACUAGCUGCAUCAAUGGGACGAACUGGGGCCUCUUCUGUGCGUGUUGGUUCAUGUGCUCCCCCAGGUCUACGUGUACAGCAGGCCAGAAGGACAACUUCUCAUUGCUCCCCCUGAAUUACAUUCCAGGUUUGGCCGAGCUGCCCCACUCCUUGUGCCCCUUCAGGCAGGCCUUAGCAUAGCUGGAUCAGCAGCCAUUGGCACAGCUGCCCUGGUUCAAGGGGAAACUGGACUAAUGUCCCUGUCCCAACAAGUAGAUGCAGAUUUAAGCAAUCUCCAAUAAGCCAUAAAUAUACAGCAUACCCAGGUAGAGUCUCUAGCUGAAGUAGUCCUUCAAAAUCACCGAGGCUUAGAUCUGCUAUUUCUCUCCCAAGGAGGAUUAUGUGCUGCUCUGGGAGAGAGUCGUUUCUUCUAUGCCAAUCAGUCUGGAGUCAUAAAAGAUACUCUCCAAAAAGUUCAAGAAAAUCUGGAUAGAUGCCAACGGGAGCGAGAAAAUAACACCCCCAGUACCAAAGUGUGUUUAACUGGAAUCCACGCUAACUAUUCUAAUUACUGGAUUGGCGGGACCCCUUCUCCUCCUCUUGUUAGGUUUAGCAUUUGGGGCUUGUCUAUUAAAUUGGUUUCUUAACUUUAUAAAGCAGCGCAUAGCUUCUAUCAAACUUAUGUAUCCUGGAACCCAAUAUAACUCCCUUGUUAUAACCAAGGAAUCAAUGAUUUGAUUCCUCCAAAACACGAGUGGAGAAUGUGAUACCCUGUCUUGUUUUAACCUGAUUGUCUCUCUUAGCUGAGAGAGUCAGACAGACUCCAUUUUAGUUCCUUCACUUACAGCCCCUUUUCCUCCCUCCCUUAAGGGCAUAACUAAUGCAAGCUGACUCCAAGCACAUCCAGGGAUGCACUUGCUGAUAAGAUACUGAGGCAAGCUGAACCGGCAGCUCCUGGGGAUGCACUCGGGUGGAUGACACCUGAAGCCCAUGCAUUUAUCUCUUUGUGAUAGUUUAAGUCCCUGCACCUGGAACUGUUUAUUUUUUGUAACUGCCUUUGUAACCAAUUUAUUUUUUUAACUUUUGCCAGUUCUGCUUCUGUAAAAAUUGCUUUAGCUAAGCUCCCCCUCCCCUAUUCAAACCAUGGUAGUAAAACAAAUCUAGCCCCUUCUUCGGGGCAGAGAGAAUUUUGAGCACUAGCUGUCUCUCAGUCGCCAGCUAAUAAAGGACUCCUGAAUUCA